rnacentral:rRNA from 1 species
UGCAGUCGAGCGAAUGAUGAGGAGCUUGCUCCUCUGAUUUAGCGGCGGACGGGUGAGUAACACGUGGGUAAUCUGCCUGUAAGACGGGGAUAACUCCGGGAAACCGGGGCUAAUACCGGAUAAUAAGAGAAGAAGCAUUUCUUCUUUUUGAAAGUCGGUUUCGGCUGACACUUACAGAUGAGCCCGCGGCGCAUUAGCUAGUUGGUGAGGUAACGGCUCACCAAGGCGACGAUGCGUAGCCGACCUGAGAGGGUGAUCGGCCACACUGGGACUGAGACACGGCCCAGACACCUACGGGAGGCAGCAGUAGGGAAUCUUCGGCAAUGGGCGAAAGCCUGACCGAGCAACGCCGCGUGAGCGAUGAAGGCCUUCGGGUCGUAAAGCUCUGUUGUUAGAGAAGAACAAGUACGAGAGUAACUGCUCGUACCUUGACGGUACCUAACCAGAAAGCCGCGGCUAACUACGUGCCAGCAGCCGCGGUAAUACGUAGGUGGCAAGCGUUAUCCGGAAUUAUUGGGCGUAAAGCGCGCGCAGGCGGUCUCUUAAGUCUGAUGAGAAAGCCCACGGCUCAACCGUGGAGGGUCAUUGGAAACUGGGAGACUUGAGUGCAGGAGAGAAAAGUGGAAUUCCACGUGUAGCGGUGAAAUGCGUAGAGAUGUGGAGGAACACCAGUGGCGAAGGCGGCUUUUUGGCCUGUAACUGA